AUGUGCUACGUUGUUUGUCUUUUCUUAUUUGUAUUUGAAGGUGUCGCUUUUUAUGCUCCUGUUUUUAUAGCUGUUCUGUGUAUAUAUUUCUUCCCUCGUACCUUUAUUGUGCAAGAUGUUCUUGCUCUUUUUUGUUUCGUUCUUGCAUCUAUCUGCACUAUAGUACGUGAAGUAUCAACCAAAAAAAAUUGGUCUUUGAUGCUACAUAUUCAGUUAAUUUUGUUCCCACUGUGCAACUUAAAUGUAUUGUCAUUGCCCCCAGCACAUUAUACUUUGUGGUUUGCACACAUGCAUGGCAAAAUACUCCAAAUCUGA
rnacentral:rRNA from 1 species